rnacentral:miRNA from 2 species
UAUUGCACUUUUUCUUGCCUCU